CCUACGGGAGGCAGCAGUGAGGAAUAUUGGUCAAUGGGCGCGAGCCUGAACCAGCCAAGUAGCGUGAAGGAUGACUGCCCUACGGGUUGUAAACUUCUUUUAUAAAGGAAUCAAGUGAGGCACGUGUGCCUUUUUGUAUGUACUUUAUGAAUAAGGAUCGGCUAACGCCGUGCCAGCAGCCGCGGUAAUACGGAGGUACCGAGCGUUAUCCGGCUUUAUUGGGUUUAAAGGGAGCGUAGAUGGGUUGUUAAGUCAGUUGUGAAAGUUUGCGUCUCAACCGUAAAAUUGAAAUUGAUAAUGGCAGUAUUGAGUACAGAUCAGGUAGGCGGAAUUCGUGGUGUAGCGGUGAAAUGCUUAGAUAUCACGAAGAACUCCGAUUGCGAAGGCAGCUUACUAAACUGCCACUGACAUUGAUGCUCGAAAGUGUGGGUAUCAAACAGGAUUAGAUACCCCUGUAGUC
rnacentral:rRNA from 1 species